rnacentral:rRNA from 1 species
AAUCAACGCUGGCGGCGUGCCUCAGACAUGCAAGUCGAACGCGAAAGUCCCCUUCGGGGGAUGAUUAGAGUGGCGCACGGGUGAGUAACACGUAGGUAAUCUACCUUCGAGUGGGGAAUAACUCAGGGAAACUUGAGCUAAUACCGCGUAAUGCAGCGGCACCACAUGGUGACAGUUGUUAAAGCAUUUAUGCGCUUGAAGAGGAGCCUGCGGCGGAUAGCUAGUUGGUAAGGUAAUGGCUUACCAAGGCUACGAUCUGUAACCGGCCUGAGAGGGCGGACGGUCACACUGACACUGAAUAACGGGUCAGACUCCUACGGGAGGCAGCAGUCGGGAAUUUUGGGCAAUGGGCGAAAGCCUGACCCAGCAACGCCGCGUGAAGGAAUGAAAUCUUUCGGGAUGUAAACUUCGGAAGAAUAAGGAAGAAAAAAUAGACGGUACUAUUUUUAAGGUCCGCUAACUACGUGCCA